AACGAACGCUGGCGGCAUGCCUAACACAUGCAAGUCGAACGAACCCUUCGGGGUGAGUGGCGCAGGGGUGCGUAACACGUGGGACCAGGCCCUUAGGUUCGGCAUAACCGUGAGAAAUGACUGCUACUACCGGAUAAUGUCUUCGGACCAAGUGUUUAUCGCCUUAGGAUGGGCCCGCGUCGGAUUAGCUAGUUGGGGAGGUAACGGCUCACCAAGGCGACGUACCUUAGCUGGUCUUAGAGGAAGAUGAGCCACACUGGGACAGAGACACGGGCCAGACUGAGACGGGAGGCAGCAGUGGGGAAUAGUGGACAAUGGGCGAAAGCAUGGUCCAGCAAUGCCGCGUGAGAGAUGAAGGCCUUAGGGUUGUAAAGCUCUAUUACCUGGGAUGAUAAUGACAGUACUAGGAGAAUAAGCCCCGGCUAACUCCGUGCCAGCCGCCGCAGUAA
rnacentral:rRNA from 1 species